rnacentral:rRNA from 1 species
CAGCAGGUAGGGAAUCUUACCACGAAUGGGCGCAAGCCUGAUGGAGCAACACCGCGUGAGUGAAGAAGGGUUUCGGCUCGUAAAGCUCUGUUAGUUAAAGAAGAACACGUAUGAGAGUAACUGUUCAUACGUUGACGGUAUUUAACCAGAAAGUCACGGCUAACUACGUGCCAGCAGCCGCGGUAAUACGUAGGUGGCAAGCGUUAUCCGGAUUUAUUGGGCGUAAAGAGAGUGCAGGCGGUUUUUCUAAGUCUGAUGUGAAAGCCUUCGGCUUAACCGGAGAAGUGCAUCGGAAACUGGAUAACUUGAGUGCAGAAGAGGGUAGUGGAACUCCAUGUGUAGCGGUGGAAUGCGUAGAUAUAUGGAAGAACACCAGUGGCGAAGGCGGCUACCUGGUCUGCAACUGACGCUGAGACUCGAAAGCAUGGGUAGCGAACAGGAUUAGAUACCCUGGUAG